CGGUCUGUUAAGUCAGAUGUGAAAUNCCCCCGGGCUUAACCUGGGAACUGCAUUUGAAACUGGCAGGCUAGAGUCUCGUAGAGGGGGGUAGAAUUCCAGGUGUAGCGGUGAAAUGCGUAGAGAUCUGGAGGAAUACCGGUGGCGAAGGCGGCCCCCUGGACGAAGACUGACGCUCAGGUACGAAAGCGUGGGGAGCAAACAGGAUUAGAUACCCUGGUAGUCCACGCUGUAAACGAUGUCGAUUUGAAGGUUGUGGCCUUGAGCCGUGGCUUUCGGAGCUAACGCGUUAAAUCGACCGCCUGGGGAGUACGGCCGCAAGGUUAAAACUCAAAUGAAUUGACGGGGGCCCGCACAAGCGGUGGAGCAUGUGGUUUAAUUCGAUGCAACGCGAAGAACCUUACCUACUCUUGACAUCCAGAGAACUUAGCAGAGAUGCUUUGGUGCCUUCGGGAACUCUGAGACAGGUGCUGCAUGGCUGUCGUCAGCUCGUGUUGUGAAAUGUUGGGUUAAGUCCCGCAACGAGCGCAACCCUUAUCCUUUGUUGCCAGCGAUUUGGUCGGGAACUCAAAGGAGACUGCCGGUGAUAAACCGGAGGAAGGUGGGGAUGACGUCAAGUCAUCAUGGCCCUUACGAGUAGGGCUACACACGUGCUACAAUGGCGCAUACAAAGAGAAGCGAUCUCGCGAGAGUCAGCGGACCUCAUAAAGUGCGUCGUAGUCCGGAUUGGAGUCUGCAACUCGACUCCAUGAAGUCGGAAUCGCUAGUAAUCGUGGAUCAGAAUGCCACGGUGAAUACGUUCCCGGGCCUUGUACACACCGCCCGUCACAACCAGUGGGAGUGGGUUGCAAAAGAAGUAGGUAGCUUAACCUUCGGGAGGGCGCUACCACUU
rnacentral:rRNA from 1 species